AGGGAAUAUUGCGCAAUGGACGAAAGUCUGACGCAGCAACGCCGCGUGGGUGAUGAAGCAUUUUGGUGUGUAAAACCCUGUCAGUGGGAAGAACGUAUGAGGAGUAACUGCCUUAUACCUGACGGUACCCGCA
rnacentral:rRNA from 1 species